CGUGGCUUCUCCGAAAAACCGGAGUUACUAUUCACUUUAAGUGAUUAGUUUUAAUCGCGUAACUUCUCCGUUCUAGCUCAUUUUCUCCUGAAACUUGACGAGUGCUUAUGUAAUUAAAUUACACACAUAAACAUCAUCAACAGAGAGUUUAUUUGCACUGUAAAAAUCUCAGUCCUUACAUAACUCUGAUUCGUUCUUCUG
rnacentral:lncRNA from 1 species